rnacentral:rRNA from 1 species
CUCGUAGUUGGAUUUCUGUCGAAGACGUCCGGUCUGCUUUUUGAGCAUGUAUCUGGUUCGGCUUUGGCAUCCUCGUGGGGAACGCUUCUGUGCUUGAUUGCAUGGGGUGGUAUUCACGACUUUUACUUUGAGGAAAUUAGAGUGUUCACGGCAGGCAAGCGCCUUGAAUACAUUAGCAUGGAAUAAUAAUAUAGGACUUUGGUUCUAUUUUGUUGGUUUCUAGAACUAAAGUAAUGAUUAAUAGGGAUAAUUGGGGGCAUUUGUACUAUCGAGUCAGAGGUGGAAUUCUUGGACUUCUAUAUGAC